rnacentral:rRNA from 1 species
UGGGGAAUAUUGGACAAUGGGCGAAAGCCUGAUCCAGCCAUGCCGCGUGUGUGAAGAAGGUCUUCGGAUUGUAAAGCACUUUAAGUUGGGAGGAAGGGCAGUAAGCGAAUACCUUGCUGUUUUGACGUUACCGACAGAAUAAGCACCGGCUAACUCUGUGCCAGCAGCCGCGGUAAUACAGAGGGUGCAAGCGUUAAUCGGAAUUACUGGGCGUAAAGCGCGCGUAGGUGGUUCGUUAAGUUGAAUGUGAAAGCCCCGGGCUCAACCUGGGAACUGGAGCCAAAACUGGCGAGCUAGAGUAGGGCAGAGGGUGGUGGAAUUUCCUGUGUAGCGGUGAAAUGCGUAGAUAUAGGAAGGAACACCAGUGGCGAAGGCGACCACCUGGGCUCAUACUGACACUGAGGUGCGAAAGCGUGGGGAGCAAACAGG